rnacentral:rRNA from 1 species
CCUACGGGAGGCAGCAGUGAGGAAUAUUGGUCAAUGGGCGCGAGCCUGAACCAGCCAAGUCGCGUGAGGGAUGACGGCCCUACGGGUUGUAAACCUCUUUUGCCGGGGAGCAACGGGCGCCACGUGUGGCGCCCCUGAGAGUACCCGGAGAAAAAGCAUCGGCUACCUCCUUGCCAGCAGCCGCGGUAAUACGGAGGAUGCGAGCGUUAUCCGGAUUUAUUGGGUUUAAAGGGUGCGUAGGCGGAUCGUUAAGUCAGUGGUCAAAUUGAGGGGAUCAACCCCUUCCCGCCAUUGAAACUGGCGCUCUUGAGUGGAAGAGAAGUAGGCGGAAUGCGUGGUGUAGCGGUGAAAUGCAUAGAUAUCACGCAGAACCCCGAUUGCGAAGGCAGCAUGCCGGCUUCCGACUGACGCUGAAGCACGAAAGCGUGGGGAUCGAACAGGAUUAGAUACCCCUGUAGUC